rnacentral:lncRNA from 1 species
GAAUAUCAUCUUCAGCACCUGUCACCAUAUGGGACAUAGAGGAAGCUCUCCCUCCUGUUUCCAAGAAAAGAAAAAUUAUUGAACUCAGGCUGAGUGUCAACAGGUUGGCAGGUCUUCAAUAAAAAUAUUGGAAGAAAAAUCAACGCAAAAGAAAUAUGGAAAUCAUAAAAUAUUUUUCUAUAGCAUGGAGUCCUACUGCACCAUAAGAUCAAGACCUACUCUUACCUUCCUGCGUAAGCCACCCCUCCCAUCUGUUUUUGAAAGAGCAUUUGGUGGCUUUUGGUUUCCAAGGACUCACGCCCUACUGCAUGGAAGAGCUCUGAUAUGGAAGGAGUUGGGUCCCUGCAUCACUGCAGGAGGAAAUCUGCCCAUCUAUCAGAAACCCUUCAUUGGAUUGUUAAAUGAGUAUAAAUUAACUCCUAUUGUAUUAAGCCAUUGAUGUUUUAUAAUUCACUUAAAGCUACUAAUAAUUUAACAUUCUUCUCAUUCAACAGGGAAUAUUUCAGAAAAUUUUUAGAAUUCCCUGUGUCUCUACCUUAGACAGAGCGAACAUCCAUUUCUGCUGAACUCUACAACCAAAAGAGUGGCAAAUGAUUGUGCAUAGAUUAUUCAGCCUCCCGAGGGUGAAUUACUCUGAUACUUGUGCCUGGGGAAAACACACAAAAAUCAGGAAAGAAGUUGCUUCCAUUCUCUCCCUUCAAAACUGUGCAUUGCAAAGAAUAAUAAAGACCAUUUCGAAAAUUUGCUCAUGACUUUAAAAUUCUUAGGUUUACCACUGAGUCACCAAAUCACUAUGUAAUAAAUCAUCAGAGUGAGAAAAAAAAAAACCCUCAGAUUUCCCUGUGGUUAUAGAAACUGUUAAUUCUCCUGUGUAGACAUGCAGUUUGGAAGAGUAGAGGGGAUGUAUUGUGAUCCAUGUGCUUGUAGGUGAGGAUUUGAAAACAGCAAACUUCUUUUUAUAUUGGUAAAAGGCAAUCUUCAAGCCAUAAGAAGGGAAAGAACAGCUUACCAUGGAAUUCGGGGCCAUUUUACUGGCUGCUAAACAAUUUCAAAGGAUUGCAACAUAUAAUAGAUAAGAAGUAGCCUGGAAAGAUGUAAGGGCAGGACGAUUUAUAGGAAGACGAGAAGAGUCUUCUGUGCCACUUGAGGGACAUUAGCUUUAGUAGUUAACAAUUUACAAUGAGUUACAUUUCAAAUUGCAUUGCUAUUUAUUCAUUCAUUCCUUUAAUAAAUGCUUAUGGUGCCGUGUUUACCAGCAUUGUUAUAGCUUUGGAGAUAAAAUGAUAAAUAAGAUAAAGGUCCUGCUGUGAGAACAGGUAUACCACUCUGGAUAUAUAAACAAAUAGUUGUGAGAUAGGAGAAAUCUCAUAACAAAAGUAUGAAAGUCAGUUGUUUGGAACAAAGCAUAUGUUUUCUUUUUUCUUUAAUAAAUAAAGUUAUUAAAAAUGGCUGGAGUAUAAAACCAAUGGACCCAAAUCCUUUUUUUCCCCAAAUCUAUUUGAUCCAUAAUGUAUCUAAAACACAGUGAAAAAUGAUUAUUUCAGCUACUUCUUAUCGUCUUUCAUCUGACUGUCUUGUUUUCACAAAAGAUUAAGACAAAGUAGGCAGUCCCAAGCAUGAGU